UGCCCUUGAAGGUCCCAGCGCCUCCCUGACCCAUGUGAGGAAUGAGGAGUGGGUUUGUGUGACAUGCGAGGCCGCUAAGGGCUGUUGUGGGACCAUCUGUAUCCCCUUCCCAGCCCACAUGCAGUGUGUUUGCUAGCUUCUUCCUGAAGAUGGACACGUUCCCCUUUCUGUUUACACCAUGGACACUCAACAAAUAGCAAACGUUGGUCGUCAUAAUAAUCCAUGGUUACCUCAAAAAACAAUCAGCUCUUGAGUAAAACCAGCAUUAGCGGACGCCAAGCAACUGUCUCGGCUCAGGCGCCUCAGAGCAAGCUUACUAUUUUGUAGCCAAUGACCUUUCAGGGCGAGCUCGCUCCUGAGUGUUACUGGAGGAGGACCAACUGCUUUCCCAGAGUGCACAGAGGUGGCUUCCGACAGCUGUCUGCCCAACUGUUUGAUGUCACCUCUCUAUUUAGCCCAUGGACUGGACCUGAGCAAAGAAAACAAAACAACAGCAAGUGCUGAACUGUACACACGGGGCGGCAAUGGAAAUGGCUUCUUUGCUUAGACUUUGGGAAUGCUCUGCAGAGGCCAGGCUGCAGGCUGGCAAGGGAGGCUAAGCCAAGAUCUGGGGUCACUGUUUCUAAAUUAAGGACUUCAGAAGUUUGGAUUAGUUUAGCAUGUAAAUUUCUCAGACCUUUCCGUCCUGGGUUCAUUGGAGUCUGAGUCUGGGCUGCUGACAAGGGGGUAAGGCUAGUGAAGAGAGCAAUGGAUCCAAGAGAAUGAUCAAUCAUCUCAGAUUUCUUCAGAGAGGGAAACCAAGAUCCUCCAACAUGGUAGUGUGGUGCAGUGCUAAGGGACCUGGAGUGUACCUGGAGAAUAUACCAAUAAGAAGAUUAGCCCUGAGCUAACAUCUGCUGCCAAUCCUUCUCUUUUUUGCUGAGGAAGACUGGCCCUGAGCUAACAUCCGUGCCCAUCUUCCUCUACUUUAUAUGUGGGACGCCUACCACAGCAUGGCUUGCCAAGCGGUGCCAUGUCCGCACCUGGGAUCUGAACUGGCGGACCCCAGGCGGCUGGAGUGGAACGCCUGCACUUAACCACUGCACCAUCGGGC
rnacentral:lncRNA from 1 species